UAAUUAUUGACUUGAUGAAGGUGUAGGGUGUUAAGAUAGAUUGUGUGAUAGUGGAUCAGGGCAACAAAGGGCCAGCAUAAUCAGGAAGAGCCGGAGCAGAAGACUUCAGGGUCAGUCAAUUUCCCAGGGGAGGAUAGAGAUGUGACAAUGUUCCUGAACCCUGAUCUAACCUCCGGACAACUCACAGCAAAACACUCAUCUUCUCAAUGUGAGGAAGUGCAGUGAUGACAUCAAAGAUGAAGGCAUACUUCACCUAACAGAAGGAUCUGCUGCUCUCUCUCGCUGUCUAUGGCACACCUCUGGAAAAGCCGCCGGCACAUCCGUCUGGAGAACCCUGAAGCACUGGAAUGGGACUGGAGCGGACUUGUGAUGAAGACUACAGGAUGCCGACCCACUGUGGCCUAGGGUUUUGAUGCCAUCUAUUGGAAUAAUUGACCAAUUUAUCAAGGGGAGUUUACAGAGUGACUACCAACUGAAAUGCUUUCUAUCCUCAUAAUAAAAGUGGUCAAUUAUAAAUAUAUCAGUUACAUUCACUAAAUUCUACCCAACAAACAUUCAGUAAACAU